CCCAUUUUCAUAGAAUCCCGAGAGUGCCCAGCUUUCUACCGCAGCACCAUUUGAACCCAACUUCACCGGGCCUUAUUGUCGUCUACGAGUCCCAAUAGCAGCUUCACACGCCAAUACAGAGGACUCCUUCUUCGGCUGCCAGACUGAGGACCUGACGAAAUCGACAGGACAUAGCUCACCUGACGCUGCUCCUUUCCCGAACGUCACGCACUGCACAGAUUGUUCUCAGAUUAUUGUGGGCUUUAUUGAACCCAAAUUAAGUUGGAGUACUUACUUGAGCCUCCC
rnacentral:misc_RNA from 1 species